UACGUAGGGUGCGAGCGUUGUCCGGAAUUAUUGGGCGUAAAGAGCUCGUAGGCGGUUUGUCGCGUCGACUGUGAAAACCUACAGCUUAACUGUGGGCUUGCAGUCGAUACGGGCAGACUUGAGUUCGGUAGGGGAGACUGGAAUUCCUGGUGUAGCGGUGAAAUGCGCAGCUAUCAGGAAGAACACCGGUGGCGAAGGCGGGUCUCUGGGCCGAAACUGACGCUGAGGAGCGAAAGCGUGGGGAGCGAACAGG
rnacentral:rRNA from 1 species